UCCGUGGGUGGAUAAUUAAGUCAGAGGUGAAAUCCUGCAGCUCAACUGUAGAAUUGCCUUUGAUACUGGUUAUCUUGAAUUAUUGUGAAGUGGUUAGAAUAUGUAGUGUAGCGGUGAAAUGCAUAGAUAUUACAUAGAAUACCAAUUGCGAAGGCAGAUCACUAACAAUAUAUUGACACUGAUGGACGAAAGCGUGGGGAGCGAACAGGAUUAGAUACCCUGGUAGUCC
rnacentral:rRNA from 1 species